AGAGGCUCAAGGUCCACAUCAGAGCCUGUCCCAAGAAACCAAGGUUGGAGGCACCCUGAGCUUUGGAAGCCUACCCUUGUUUGGUUCUGAAGGCCAGCUGAAAGUCCCCAGGCCCCUGCUCUGGCUGCCCACUCCAUAAAGUGUUCACAGGGGCAGGGGGUGGCUCCCCCUCAUGUUCUCACACCACCUUUCACACCUGCCCCUGGGCUCACCUCAUUUCCUCACUCAGCAGGUCUCUGGGGCCUUGGGUGUCUCAGUCUUACAUCCUGUGAGACUGAGAGCCUUGCUUGGCCCAACCCCCACCUGCUCCACACCUACGCAGGUUCCUUUUUUUUCUUCAUUUUUUUCGCUACUGGGGAUUGAACCCAAGUGCACUACCACUGAGCCACAUCCCCAGCCCUCUAAGCACACAGGGACAGGGGUGUGCUGGUGCAGCUCUGUUAAGGCCCUGGAGAUUCAGACUUUUUCUUACAUGGAAUUGCUAAUAGGCAAGAGCAUCUCUUUUCUGGACCCCAGACUGAUCUGUUACAUGAAGUUCAGACUUCCCUGUCCAUAUCACUGAGAUCACAUAGGCAGAGGUCCCCAUGGAUUCCAGUUCUAUCAAAGGGGCUUGGGUGUUGAGUUCUAGCAUGCCCUUUCCUGCUUUCAGGUGUGGGCAUAGUAAUCUGCAAGAGGAUGGGCCUGGGGUCUCUCUCUCAAGCUAGGGUGAUUUGGGUCCCAUGACUGAGCUGAGUGAUUCAGCCCCUUCCUCAUGAUGUGCG
rnacentral:lncRNA from 1 species